GACGAACGCUGGCGGCGUGCUUAACACAUGCAAGUCGAACGGAAAGGCCCUGCUUUUGUGGGGUGCUCGAGUGGCGAACGGGUGAGUAACACGUGAGUAACCUGCCCUUGACUUUGGGAUAACUUCAGGAAGCUGGGGCUAAUACCGGAUAGGAGCUCCUGCUGCAUGGUGGGGGUUGGAAAGUUUCGGCGGUUGGGGAUGGACUCGCGGCUUAUCAGCUUGUUGGUGGGGUAGUGGCUUACCAAGGCUUUGACGGGUAGCCGGCCUGAGAGGGUGACCGGCCACAUUGGGACUGAGAUACGGCCCAGACUCCUACGGGAGGCAGCAGUGGGGAAUAUUGCACAAUGGGCGGAAGCCUGAUGCAGCAACGCCACGUGCGGGAUGACGGCCUUCGGGUUGUAAACCGCUUUCGCCUGUGACGAAGCGUGAGUGACGGUAAUGGGUAAAGAAGCACCGGCUAACUACGUG
rnacentral:rRNA from 1 species